AAAGGAUAAAGGAAAACUAGCUUUUGUGGAGCCAAAUUAUGGAUUAGGAAUAUGAAAUGAGUUGUUACUUAAUCCACACAAACCAAGGCAUGUUGUUCCACCUAUUUAACAGAAGCAGUAACGAUGGCUGGGAGAGGUUAAAUGAUCUGCCUGUGUUCACACCACGUGUGAGUGGCAGAGCCAGGAUUCAAGCCUGUCUGAUGCCAGCAUCCCUGUCCCUCCCACUGGGCCAUGCCACUGCCGUCCAAGCAAACAGGACUCGUGUGGAGGUCAUGCUCGUCUGGAGUUCUCCCCACAUUUUCUUUCAGCGUCAACAAAGUAAUGGAACCAGAGCAAAAUUUUUUUUUAAAUAAGGAAGAAAAAUCACCUUUUAUGUAUCCAUGUUAUACCGCCCAGGCCUUAUCUGAACAUAUAGUUUUAUAUGUACAUUUAUUUUGUAUUUUCACAUGUUGUUUUUUACUAUUUCUACAUUUUUCAGAAUUGUUUCUUUGAGUAACUGUGCCCUAUUCCGCCAUUUAUUAACCAUUGAAUAUUUAGGUUACCUCCCCUGCGUUUACUGUUACCGUUUACAGCAAACAUUUUCAUGCAUACUGCUUUCCUCGUUUUGAAUAAUGCUUUAGGAUUUAUUCCAAGAAUCCUACCUUUUGUCUUAAUGGGAGUUUCCAUCCAGUUAAAUAGUAGAGGGCUACAUUUUCAUACUAAUGGAAGCCUGGCAUUAAAGGGUAAAUUUAAAGUAUGACUAUAUUUGUUGUUCAUCUUUUAGUGGCAUGGUAGAAAGAACCCCAUUACAUUUUUUACAAAUAUUUAAUGACCCCAGAAGGAAGUCAUUACAAAACUCAGUGGCUAAAUAGCUUCCCAGGAUCUGUACGUGUGGAGCCAGUGUUCACACACCGGGCACGGGGUACCUGAGAAGGAGUGGAAGAAGGUAAGGACAGAAAAUAGGUUUGAGUCUGACUGGAAAGGCCUGGUGCCCUGCUUAGGGAGUUACAGGCAGUGGAGCAGAACGGACGGUUUUGGAAAAUGGGCAUCAGUCAGAACAGGGUGAGGAGACUGUUCUGCAGCACCUGGUAGGGUAAAUUGGAUACAGGUUGUGGGAAGAAGAGGGAGUACAAGAUCCAGCAGGAUGCUGAUGGAGUAGCUGUGAAGCAGAGCAUGAGAACUUGAAACAAACGUUUAAAAAAAAAAGAUGAGAAAGAGGCAACAAGUCCGGGAAACACUUCAGCACCAUAACGUAAGGAUUUAACAGUUUAUACAAGUCGCAUGCUUUAUUAAAUGAACUCUAGGAAAACACUCCAUGAAAGGAAGUGGAACUGAAGAUCCAGUCAGUGAGGGUUAAUCCCGUAGCUUUCUCCUGGGUAAAUGUAUCUUCUCUUUGUAAAGUUACAGAAAUGUCUGAUGUGCACAGUGGAGGGAACACUAGACCUGCAGUUGAGAGACAUGGGUUCUAACGCUAGCUCUGCCUCAUGUUAUACACGGCUGGAUGUCCCUGAGUAAGUCAGGAAAUGCUCUGGGCCUUUGUCUUCUCAGCCUGUGACAUAUACAAGGAACUAGCUGACCUCCUAGGAUCCUUACAGCUCUGAUAUGCCAUCUUUCAAGGGUGUUGGCGUAUAGUUUAGGAGGAUUAGGAAUUACAAGGUAUGAGAGGUUUCCUAAAAAGACAGUUUGCAGCUAAUAUUUAUGUUUUCAGUAACUGAUUUUUUUCUCCCCUAUUCUAGAAUAAGCAAAUCACUUUCUUAGACCAAAAGGACCCCACAGAAGGGACACAGAAGACUCCCUGGGGAAAAAAAAAAAAA